AAGUCCCGUAACGAGCGCAACCCUCAUAUUCAGUUGCCAUCGGGUUAAGCUGGGCACUCUGAAGAAACCGCCGGUGACAAGCCGGAGGAAGGCGGGGAUGACGUCAAGUCCUCAUGGCCCUUAUGGGCUGGGCUACACACGUGCUACAAUGGUGGUGACAGUGGGAUGCAAGGGGGCGACCCUGAGCAAAUCUCAAAAAGCCAUCUCAGUUCGGAUUGCACUCUGCAACUCGAGUGCAUGAAGGUGGAAUCGCUAGUAAUCGCGGAUCAGCAUGCCGCGGUGAAUACGUUCCCGGGCCUUGUACACACCGCCCGU
rnacentral:rRNA from 1 species